GACAGAGGUGCCAAGCGUUAGGCGGAAUCACUGGGCUUAAAGCGUGUGUAGGCGGAUGCCUAAGUACCUUGUGAAAUCCCACGGCUCAACCGUGGAACUGCUGGGUAUACUGGGGUGUCUUGGGUCAGCUAGGGGUUGCCGGAACAAAUGGUGGAGCGGUGAAAUGCGUAGAUAUCAUUUGGAACGCCAAUGGCGAAAGCAGGCAACUGGGGCGUGUACCGACGCUGGAGACACGAAAGCCAGGGGAGCGAACGGG
rnacentral:rRNA from 1 species